CCUACGGGUGGCAGCAGUGAGGAAUAUUGGUCAAUGGACGAGAGUCUGAACCAGCCAAGUAGCGUGAAGGAUGACUGCCCUAUGGGUUGUAAACUUCUUUUAUAAAGGAAUAAAACGAGGCACGUGUGCCUUUUUGCAUGUACUUUAUGAAUAAGGAUCGGCUAACUCCGUGCCAGCAGCCGCGGUAAUACGGAGGAUCCGAGCGUUAUCCGGAUUUAUUGGGUUUAAAGGGAGCGGAGAUGGGUUGUUAAGUCAGUUGUGAAAGUUUGCGGCUUAACCGUAAAAUUGCAAUUGAUACUGGCAGUCUUGAGUACAGUUGAGGUAGGCGGAAUUCGAGGUGUAGCGGUGAAAUGCUUAGAUAUCACGAAGAACCCCGAUUGCGAAGGCAGCUUACUAAACUGUGACUGACAUUGAGGCUCGAAAGUGUGGGGAUCAAACAGGAUUAGAUACCCGAGUAGUC
rnacentral:rRNA from 1 species